rnacentral:lncRNA from 1 species
GUGGAGGUGGGGAGGUGGGGCGGGAUUCGCUGAGAGAGUCACGUGAGGACUUGGAGGAGGCCGGGAAGAUGGCGAUGCGGAUGCUGGGGAGUGGGGCCGCCCCAGCCAGAGUGUGCAGGGACGCUCGGAGGCCGAAGGCCCGACCACUGCAGGAGCAGUGUGUGGCUUCACAGCCACGGUAUGCCAGGAUCUUUCCCGAGUGCUGUGUAUAUAGUUCAUUAUCGAAUCUCCGGAAGACACCUGUAAUUCUCUGGCUUUACGGAAGAGGAAUCAAGGCAUCGACAGGUUGGUCACUGGUUAGCGCUGGUGGAGUCCAUGGUGUUAUUGUCUACAUGGCCAUCAUACACUGUCACCUGGUCCUGCUUACAUUUAGCUACGAAGACACUGUCUCUUUCUCAGAUAUUACAGUAAAUGUCCCCUCUUCCCAAAGAAACAGGAACGAUGUAUUUGUAGUGCAGCCCUUAAGCUGCAGUCAGCUUUUCCAACCACAACUACCAGGUUUGACUCUUUCCGUUCACUUGGCUGACCCUCCUCUUAGCAUUAAUGUAUUUAGAGAGAACAUGUAUGGAGCCAUUUGUGUUGUGGUAAAACCGCAUUUUUAAUGUAUUUACAAACAGAUCCAUACAAACACAUGAAAAACUAUAAAAUAUAUGCCACAUGAUUAUUUGGGUGCCCGAUGCCACACAGAUUGAGAUUUUCCCUUGGGAGGUGAACCAAGAAUGGAAAGCUUGUGGGAAGGAC